ensembl:lncRNA
GGUGAUGGUGGGUACCCAUAUGGUGCCGCUCAGCAACUCGGCAUGGGGGCUGAUGCAGGCAAAUCUGCCAGCAAAUAUGGUAACGGCCGAGGAAAUGGACGAUCUCAGCCAGCUGCGUAUGCUGGGCCCCUUGCAGCCAGCCAGGGUGGCUACGGAGGCAAAGACGGGAGCAAGUAUGGUUUGAACAACUACUAUGGCAACGGCUACAAAGGUUGAUUGAAGAGGCCUCGGCAUCAAGAAGUGAAUUUGUGUUGAUUCCCCCUUGUGUUCUAUGUGUGUGUUUGUGUCCAUCUGUUUUGUCGUGUGUCUUUCUGUGCAUCUAACUGAGUUGUGUGUGAUCUUUUUCGUUUGAUGUUCGUUCGUCUCUAUGUUGUGUUUUCCCUAAGUGUCCCCUGCCAAGUUGUCUCUGUAGCUUUGCUGAAUUUGACAUGAAGUUUUGCUGUUUGAUGAUUUCUGCACAUGAAACACUAAACAGUUUUUUCACCCCAAA